GCACCCUGACUUGCGCUGCGAGCAGCAUCCCCGAGCAGAGGCGGUGGCACCAGGGGGUGCUGCGUGCUCGCAGCCUGGACCGCAGACGCUGCUGCUGCGAAAUGGCAAGAAGAAGGCCUCUGACAAUUAUGCCCACAAAAUGUUGCUUCUGCACUUCUACAGCCUCUGACGUCUCGAAAUGCAGGUGCAGUCAGGACCUCAAAAGCCGCAGCCAAGAGCAGCAGCCCCCUGCUCUGUGGGACAUUGGAGGCGAGUUGGGCAGUGAGUUGCAGCACCGCAGCUCCCUCCACUGCUGGGGCUGUGCGCCAGUGCCCCCUGUUCUUUGUCAUUCAGGUAAACUGGGAAAUCCUCGCUAACCUCAGC